rnacentral:rRNA from 1 species
GAUGAACGCUGGCGGCGUGCCUAAUACAUGCAAGUCGAGCGAACGGACGAGAAGCUUGCUUCUCUGAUGUUAGCGGCGGACGGGUGAGUAACACGUGGAUAACCUACCUAUAAGACUGGGAUAACUUCGGGAAACCGGAGCUAAUACCGGAUAAUAUUUUGAACCCCAUGGUUCAAAAGUGAAAGACGGUCUUGCUGUCACUUAUAGAUGGAUCCGCGCUGCAUUAGCUAGUUGGUAAGGUAACGGCUUACCAAGGCAACGAUGCAUAGCCGACCUGAGAGAGUGAUCGGCCACACUGGAACUGAGACACGGUCCAGACUCCUACGGGAGGCAGCAGUAGGGAAUCUUCCGCAAUGGGCGAAGGCCUGACGGAGCAACGCCGCGUGAGUGAUGAAGGUCUUCGGAUCGUAAAACUCUGUUAUUAGGGAAGAACAUAUGUGUAAGUAACUGUGCACAUCUUGACGGUACCUAAUCAGAAAGCCACGGCUAACUACGUG